rnacentral:ncRNA from 1 species
AAGACCCUAUGGAGCUUUAAUUUAUUAAUGCAAACAAAGCUCAAAUAAGCCCACAGGCCUUAAACUACUGUCCCUGCAUUAAAAAUUUUGGUUGGGGCGGCCUCGGAGCAUAAUUUAACCUUUGAGCAACCUAUGCUAAGAUACUAAACCAGUUUAAGCAAAUUACCAUACAUAUAUUGACCCAAUAAUUUGAUCAACGGAACAAGUUACCCUGGGGAUAACAGCGCAAUUCUAUUCUAGAGUCCAUAUCAACAAUAGAGUUUACGACCUCGAUGUUAGAUCAGGACAUCCUAAUGAGGUAACUGCUAUCAAGGGUUCGUAUGUUCAACGAUUAAAGUCCUACGUGAUCUGAGUUCAGACCGUCGCAAUCCAGGUCUGGU